UAGGGAAUAUUGGGCAAUGGAGGCAACUCUGACCCAGCAACGCCGCGUGAAUGAAGAAGGUUUUAGGAUUGUAAAGUUCUGUUCUAAGGGAAGAAAAAAAUGACGGUACCUUAGGAGAAAGCCCCGGCAAACUACGUGCCAGCAGCCGCGGUAAUACGUAGGGGGCAAGCGUUGUCCGGAAUGACUGGGCGUAAAGGGAGUGUAGGCGGAUUGGUAAGUUAAAUGUGAAAGCCACGGGCUUAACCCGUGAACUGCAUUUAAUACUGCUUAUCUAGAGUGUGGGAGAGGAUAAUGGAAUUCCAAGUGUAGCGGUAGAAUGCGUAGAUAUUUGGAGGAACAUCAGAGGCGAAGGCGAUUAUCUGGACCAUAACUGACGCUGAUACUCGAAAGCGUGGGGAGCAAACA
rnacentral:rRNA from 1 species